CCCGCACCGCCGCCGGCCGCCGCGGCGCCCGCUCCGCCCGGGGGGGGGGGGGGAGAGCCCGGCUCUGCACGCCCCCUCGCCGAGCCCGGGACCCGCCGCGUCCCCCGCGGCCGAGACCUCAGAGGCCCGAGAGGAGAGAAGUCCCAGCGAGGAUGGGCCCCGGCGACCACGUCAGGCACCCGAGGCUAAGGGAGCGAGCCCUCGCCUCCCUCUAAUGGCGUCUCCUUCCUCCUACGUCACGCCCUGCGUCACGUGACCGCGGAGGGGCGGGGCCGGGCGGCGGCGGCGGCGGCGGCGGCGGCGGCGGCGGCGGCGGGCCCAGUCUUGGGGCCUUGUUCCGGUGUCCGCCACCACCGAGGCGGGUUCGGGGCUCCUCCGGGGAAGCCGGCGGCGGCGGCGGUGGCGGGGAGGAGCUGAUCUUUGGAAGCCGACCCGACUCCGGUGGGAUGGAAGGCGGGAGGAGGACGUGGGCGCCUUGACCCGAGGAAGGUUCACCAAGCAGGGGUCCUCCUUCCCAGCAGGGGUCAUCCCGAGCCACGUCCAGCCAAGGUCUCGGCUUAAACCGGAAAGGCUUCCCUGACCACCCAGACCUUCCCACAUCCUUCCAUCCCUCCUACUUAACUUCGCCACUAAGAUAUUUCCUAACAAUGGUGUGCCGUCUUUAUCGGCGCUUACCACACACUCGGUGGAAUUCCGAUUAGGCUGGAGGUUUAAGGGCAAGGAUUGCGGAAGACUUAACCUCCCUCUAUUCCCAGCUGUAAACGCCAGGCUAAGAAUAAAUGAUGUUUCCUAAGUGAUUAA